rnacentral:rRNA from 1 species
CCUACGGGAGGCAGCAGUGGGGAAUAUUGCGCAAUGGGCGAAAGCCUGACGCAGCGACGCCGCGUGAGGGAUGACGGUCUUCGGAUUGUAAACCUCUGUCUGCAGGGAAGUACGGUCACUGUGCUAAUCAGCAGUGCAUUGACGGUACCUGCAAAGGAAGCACCGGCCAAAUCCGUGCCAGCAGCUGCGGUAAUACGGAGGGUGCGAGCGUUAAUCGGAAUUACUGGGCGUAAAGCGAGCGUAGGCGGUAUGUCAAGUCAAGGGUGAAAUCCCCGGGCUCAACGUGGGAACUGCAUUUGAUACUGGCAAACUGGAGUGUGGGAGAGGAUAGUGGAAUUCCAGGUGUAGGAGUGAAAUCCGUAGAUAUCUGGAGGAACACCAGUGGCGAAGGCGACUAACUGGCACAUAACUGACGCUGAGGAGCGAAAGCGUGGGUAGCAAACAGGAUUAGAUACCCGAGUAGUC